UCGCGCACAUUAUUUUGGCCAAAAUUCCACUCACGACUUUUCUCUCUCCAAAUAACAAAACCUACUUUGCAAAACCUUUUCAGGUCUCUCAAAACCUUAGAUUCACUCACGCCGUCGAACACCAAAACACAACCACGAACUCUCUCAAAACCUUCGAUUCACUCUCACCGUCGAACACCGAAACACUACCACGAAGUAUUCUCCCUUCGCCAACCUUUCACCAUCGAUUCAUCGAUUCACCAACGGAAAGAGGAAGCAUGAUCGAUUCACUAUCAUUUGUACCCUAAUUCAGAUUCACUUCUAAUUCACCACUCGAACAUAAAGAGGAAACACGGAAACAUAAUAAAGAGCAAAACCCAUUCUCCGUCGAACUCAGCACUUCGUCAGCUCACCACCGUCGUAUAUGAUUUGACAAAGUUUUCACCAAUAUAAGUGAUGGAUGAAUGUUGAUUUACUUUGGUGUAUACAUAAUCUGAAGACACCAUUUUGUGAGUACAUUCUCUUUUGUUGCAACUUGAAUGUUGCAAAUUCAUGAAGAUGAUUUCAUCCUAACUGUGCCAUAAUUUGUGUUACAAGUCUGCUUUAAAACACCUGAAGUUGGAUAGAUGAAAGAAAUACGAGUACUGCUUUCCUUGCAGGCAGUUCCUUGCAGGCAGGCAGUUCAUUUAAGCCUCAUGUAAUUGUAACAGCAGGAAGUUCCUUGCCUUGUUGUAAUUGUGCUUGUAGAUCAGAGUAGACAACACCCUGUUAUACCAGUAUUAGGUCUUAAAACACUUAUUAGGCAUCUGAACACUUAUUAGGCUUAUUAAAAGUGAAAUAUGAGUUGGUUCCAUUCGGAUCUAGUUCAGGAUAAAAAUUCUAUACACAAGAAAUUGUAUUUUUCCGCUAGUAUCAAUUGUAUAGCAUGAGUCGUACAUCUGUGAAAGAAACUACAAAUCCUUUUCAGUAUGUAAAUGGUCUCUUAUCUGUGUUUUCUACAUUAUUAAUUAUUACCUGUUGGAUUUUAGAAAAAUAAAAUGUCAUUGGUUAUGUUUAAAUUGCAGUAUGUUACCGCCAUAACCCACCAGAGUCAUAUCUCUCCACUACCUCUAACUAAACAGCCCAUCAUAUGAAAUUAUGACCAUGGCCUUCAAAUAUGAGUUGGUUCGAGAAUCAAUAGUUAUAAGUUUUAACAUCCAGAAAUAUAAUAAAAGGAAUCGUUUACCUCGGGAAUUAUAAAUUUAUUUGUGAGAAGACAGAAUGUGGGAAGUGUACAAUACGCAAUCAGUGUGGGAGUGAAGUAAAGGGGUAGAAAAUUGUGAUGAUAUAAGAAAGCCUCAUGAGAAGCCUCAUCCUUCCGUUGUAGCCAUAUCAUCUGCCACAGAACCAUAGAUCCAUCCAAUCUGGUGAAGUUACAAAAAUGAUUAUUAAUAGCUAAAAAAACAGCUCAUCAAUCAUACAUAUUUCUUAGAAUUGAAUUCAGAUACACUGACAACACGAUAUAAAUAGACAUGUUCACCUCUUUUGACUCCCCUCUUAUUGUCACCGUACUUCUUAUUACCACCCUUAUAUAAGCUUGUAUGGUUUGUUAAUUUUUUUAAAUUCUUUUAUUGUAUUUGCUUCUUGAUGUUACUCUUGUAUGGUAUAAUAACGUUUUUACACUUUUUACAGGUAAAAUAUGGCUUCUAUUAGUGAUGAAGGUGGUUCGUCUAGUAAAGCAAACAAUUGAUAAAUGUGGUGUGAUCCGGUUGCAAAAAAUCACAAAGCCCAAAGCAAUGGAAAGAGGAUUGAGCACUAGACCAAAAUUUCACCUGCGUUGAGAUUAAUUCUAUCCGCUGCUAUGUCCUUUUGAAUAUUCAUGCUAAAGUUGAAGUCGAAUAAAUAUGACAGCAUGAAGAAGUAAUCGAAACAGUAUGUAAUACUGGACAUACAAUUUAGUGUAGAAGUAUCUGAGAGAGGAAGAAAGAAACCUACGUCUCGCAUUUUCUAAUGAUGGAAUAAACCCUCAUGGUAUUGAGGUAAUACUUUUUUCACUUGGUUAUGGAUCCUUAAACACAUAUCAGAGUUUGAAAAGAUCAUUAUUUCAUAAUAUGAGUAAGUAGUGGUUAAAUUUAAGAUGAUUUGUUUUCUACCACGCCCUGUUUCAAAAUUUGGUUUUCUUUUCUUUUCCAUUUCAGUACCCUUGUAAUUGUUUACUAAUCAGAAAUUCUCUGAAUGGAUUUUCUAGCUUGUAUAAUGGGAGAAUUGUUUGGUAAUUCUUACAAAUUAGUGGGAAGCUUUUGUUUGUACACUCGUGAUCCUAAUUAAUAUGUCUAAACAUUGUUUUUUAAUUACUGCAGAAAGUUAGUAAUGAAAAUCGAGAAAGAGCGUUAAAUCCUCAACAUCCCUAUCGAAAGUCACGUUUAGGGUGUGCUCGUCUAGAAAUGUAUGUACAGGUAGAAGAGUCAGAAGGGAAUGAGAUAAAUCGUAAUCAAGUGUGGAAGGGCUGCCCGCGUCAAUAAGGAUGGCGUGAUUAUAAAACAGAAAACAAGAAGCAUGUAUUUUGCCUAGCUAAGUGAUUGUAUCUAAGGGUUAGGCGCUUUUGGUUCACGAAGUGUGGAUACUACUUUGUCCUGUUUUGUUGUCCCUUUUUGUUUUUUUAGGUGCCUUGUUUAGAGAAUAUGACUGUUUGCUCUAGGAUUGAAGUACUCUUAGUUGGAAUUAAUGCAUGCAAUAUACAAAUUUGGCUA